rnacentral:lncRNA from 1 species
GAAGAGAUGGAGAAGAAAAAACCAGUGAAUUUGUGCGAAAUUAGGGUUUCAAGGUAUGUUGUUAUUAACAAUUUCAUGUUUCUCUGUUGUUAUUAAACCAAUGAAUUGGGCGAAAUUUGAUCAUUGUUUGGUGGUAAUUAGGGUUUUUUUUUGUUUGUUUUCGAAAUUUAAUUUGCAAAUUGAUGUUUGGUUCUGGUUUGUUAUCCUUGAUUCUUUCGUUCUUGAUGUUGUUUAUUAACAAUUUUACUUUUAUCUUAUGUUAUUGAUGCUUAUAAAUCAGUGACUUUGGGCGACAUAUGGUUUUUUUUUCUUUUCGAAAUUUGAUGCUUAAACGAGCAAAUUGUUGCAGUUUGAUGUUUCGUAUGUGUUUGAUUAUUUGGUUGUUGAUGUUGUUAGAAAAGAAGUUGUCUUCAAGGUUUGAUUUUCAAUCUCAUUGUUGUUUGAUUUGAAUCUGGUUGAAUUUAAUCUGAGUAAAAUAGUAAUUUGUUGUUUGAGUGAAGUUUGUGAUUAAUUAUCAUGUUGUUGAUCUAUACGUAUAUAGCAUGCAAAGCAGAUUAAUCUUGCGUGUUUGGUACUCUUGAUGUUCUAUAGACCGAUACAUAAACUCAGUGUUGCAAACAUCCCAUCCUAUUACUAUUUCCUGGACAAGUAUGUAUCCAAGUUCGAGAAACUACUUCCUAAAUUGUUGAAUGCAUACCAAGGAUAUGUAAAUGGUUUACGAAUACUAUUGUUGAAUGCAUAUAGAGUAGUACUAUUUUGUUGCUUGUACACUAGUGAGUUGAUGUGGUCAGGGCUUACUAGCUUACGCCAUUAUAGUAGUUGAUGUGGUUACGGGCGGGUGUUGUGUUGAUUAGGGAGUAUUGUACGUAGUUUGGUUCGAUAAGAUCCAAAUAUUAUACUGUAUACAAACUUGUCUUUGUCCUGAGUAUAUUAUCCAAUUGUCCACUAUGAAUUCCAAUUCGUACCAGUAGCUGUAGCUGUACCAGUCUAAAUUGUAUUCCGAUUUGGCUUUGGUUAGGUUUGGUAUCAGUCAGUAGUCCGUCCGUCAACAUACACACACUAGAAUGAAUGAUUUUGGAUCAUGGCCAUGAUAGCAAAGUGCAAUUUGUUUCUUGGUUUUUAUAAGUAAUUAAUAAUCUGUAUGUUUGUUUGUUGGGUUGCAUGAUUUCAUCUACUAGAGAUAGGUUAGGUAUCAUAUGAUGUGAUAUUGUGAUGUGACACACGUGUGCAGUCCUCGAUUGAUCACUCUUAGAUCUGGAAAAGGCUUAAAUUCCAAGUUCAAAAUUGCUGCCUGAAAUAUUGGAAUGGAACAUGUAGUGACUGAUAUACAUAUUGAUAUUGCAACUUACAUUUUCAUUGCUGUCUGAAAAUGGCCCAUGGCUGGAAAGUAAUCACUGCGAUAGAUAGAUAGAUAUAUCGUCACAAUAUUGAUUGGUUUUGAUCCACUACUGCUAUAUGCAUGCAAAGAUUGUUUGAUUCUUAUACAUACCAAUAUAAUUUGACUACUUCCUAAAGUAGUUUGAGAAACUACUUCCUCAAUUGUCGAAUGCAUACCAAUGAUAUGUAAAUGGUUUACGAUUAUUGAAAAGUCAGUUUUCAUAACCCACUGUCAGUCUGUCAGGUCUGGGUUUUUCCACCUCAGUAAUUAGUUGAUAUAGUGUGCACGUUAAGUCACACUUCAACUAGAUAGCUUGAAUGAAGCACAACUAGAUACCCAUUUAAUAGGGUUGGACGAGUCUAGGUAACCCUAAAAAAACAUAUGGAUGCAAAGUUCUGCCUUUGACAGUUAAUUUCAUUUCAUUCUUCAAAAGCUUUUGGAUGCGAUGCCCAUGAAUAGUAUAUAACUAGAUACCCUUUUGAUAGGGUUGGAUGAGUCAAGGUGGGUCUACUGCGAUAUUGAUGAGGUUGGAUGAGUCUAUGAGGGUUUGUUCUAAUUCAGCGAUGUUAUGAUAUAUGUAUUUAAUUGGCCAAUUGGGAACACUAGAUAAAUAGCCUCUUGGGAACAUUAGAUGAAGGCUGGCUAAAAAACUUCAAUUUAUCAUUUAGAAAAGUAAUUUUUUUUAUUAUUUGUUUAUUUGUGGUAUUGGCUUGUACUAUAAUAGCCGAUCGAGAUUCCUGGAUAAAUGGCCUCAUGGGAACGUUGGAUGCAGGUAGGCCAAUAAAUUUUUAUUUUUUUAUUUUUUUAUUUUAAAAGUUAUUUUUGUUAUUAUUAUUUGUAUUUUGUGCUAUUGUCAUUUAUCUACUAUAAUGGCCAAUCGGGAACGUUGGAUUAAUGGCCUCUAGAGAACGUUAGAUAAAGGCAGGCUAAUAAACUUCUAUAUUUCAUUAAAAGUUAUUUUUGUUAUUAUUAUUUGUAUUCUAUGUUAUUAUCAUCUAUCUAUUGUAAUGGUAUUGAGAACGGAUAAAUGGCCUCGUGGGAACGUUUGAUAAAGGCAGACCAAUAAAUUUCUACUUUUUAUUUUAAAAGUUAGUUUUGUUAUUAUUGUUUGUGUUAUGUGUUAUUGUCAUCUUUCACUAUAAUGGCCAAUCGGGAACGCUAGAUUAAUGCCUUCGUGGGAACGUUAGAUAGAGGCAGACCAAUAAAUUUUUAUUUUUCAUUUUAAAACUUAAUUUUGUUAUUAUUAUUUGUAUUCUGAUUUAUUGUCAUCUGUUUGUACUAUAAUGGCCAAUUGGG